UCGACAUUUUAGUUGUCAACACAUUUCAUUUGCAAUCGCGUCACCCGCCCACGCCCCUGCAAUUCUUUCACUUAAUGGGAGUGGAUUUUUCGUUAAUUAUUUCUGAGUCUGCCGUGUCCAACGGACACCGGUGGUACCCAACGGCCGCCGUGCAAUGCACGGAUGUAACCUCGAACUUCUUUCGCACCGUACGUGCGGGGAGAAUCGGAGAAGCCAAGGCACCAAAGGGCGGGCCCUCGGAAGGAUCACACGAUGCGCUCGCGUGGACAAACUCCGCUUCAUCUUCCGAACUGCACUCUGCUCUUUUGCAGCAAGAGGCCCCAGCGGACCUCGGUGGGUGGAGGUUGUCUCUGCUGAUAACUCCUAAUUCCGAGUUGGCGUUGGCAAAUCGUGCAAAUCACGGGGGCCGGCAGCAGUGAGCUCGCAGUAUGCAUACCGCGCACGUAACCCAGUUCGCAUCCAACGCACUUCACAUAUCAAUCGGGGCCCCCGCCGAUUUCCAUGCGAAUACAGAGAGAGAGACGAUGCCGUUGCUUGUGGAAAUUGCCAAGGGUGGAACGUCUCCGACUGGGCGUCUGCACCAGGGGGAGCACUUGUCAAGCCAGUUCCCGUCGGAGAACGGCCUGCGAGUGCGGCCAAGGUCGGAGAGAAUCCCGCGCGGGGAAAGGUACUUGGGGUCUCCCGUGAGCCGGUGGAGCAGCAGAAAGACGUAGGCGCUCCCGGCCACUCCGUGACAGAUGCCCGGCCCCUUCUUCAGAAGGCCCCGUCGCCAGGCGGUCUCGGCGCAGCGCACGCACACCGCCAGGUAGCGAGCCUCGCCCGACAGCAGGUACGCCUUGGCAAACACGUACGCAACACCUGUGGGAGCACCGCAGCAAAGCGUGGAGUGACCUUUGCACGGUCAGUGACCUUCACAAGGUCAGUGACCUACACAUAGUCACUGACCAUCACAAGGUCAGUAACUUUUACACAGUCAGUGACCCUCACAAGUUCAGUGACCUUCACAUGGUCAGUGACCCUUACAAGGUCAGUGACCUUCACUCGACCAAAGGAUGCCCCGUGCAGACCGAGAGCUGAGCAUAAUGCUUACUGCAAGCGUCGAAAAUUGUAGGGGGUGAGCACACACCCCUGCCUCACCCACGUCAUCCACCGGUGCAGCAGUCGGAGAGCUAAAGGCCUCGCAAUUCCACAGUGCAGGCCAAGCCAAUCAGAGCAAUGAUCUUUUGCCUUCACUUCGCGAGAGACGCAGGACCUACUGGAGUCUGCCUCCCGAUGCACCCGAGCGAAAAGCCCACUUCAGACCGACGUUACGCUGCUUGCCCAAACGCCUCGAUAAAUACGUUAGUCGAUUAAACUUGUCCGCGAACACAUUCGCCAUAAAAGCUGACGAGGACAACAAAUAGAAAAAAAAAAUCGGUCGUCCAGAGCACCACCAUGGAGCGUAUUACGACUCAAUUGCCGAUUCACAAAUUAUUUCGAAUGCGGCACCAUCCCAGCAGUGCGCUCCGCUACUGCCGAUGCAAUUAUCUGACUCAACCACUUCAAUGUAAAAUCUACAGCUGUUGCUCCGCAUUCAGCAUCAGCGGCACGGCGAGAAAUACGAGAACGGCGCGCGUGCUCACCACAGCGGGCGCCAAAAUGUCACGAACACAUUUGGAUGAGCAGGUUUAUCAUUCACAAUUUAAUGCUGUUUAUCUGCCCGUGCUUUUGCCUAAAUAGAUCAACAAUUAUCGUGGGUAAGGAAAGAUCUCGCCACAAGAGCACGCUUCUCCGAACCCGAAGCAAUUUAAUCUCCGAGCGUUUCGACAGCCAAUCGCGAGACUGCUCAUUCUUCACGUCAGUCCACGCUCCAGUUUCCUCUGGUCAACUUCCAGCGGUGGACGUUUCUGUGUUUGUCAGGAGUUGUUUUUGUUGUUGUUCUGGAACUCUACACCCGGAUCACCGCCACAGUGACGUUCCAGUCUCAGCAGCUCUCAGGCAUGGAGUCUAUGACCACGGUGGCGAGAUGUUAACUACCUCGCCUGAUAUACAGGAGGUCGUGGGUUCGAUCCCGACACGGACGGCUGCUGUAUAUUUGGAGUUUGCGUGUCUCUCUCCCAUCAUCAUCACGGUGGCUAUGAGAUGUUAACUACCUCGCUUGGUAUACAGGAGGUCGUGGGUUCGAUCUCAACCCUGACGAUGCCUGCUGCUGUUUAGUUUGGAGUUUGCGUGUUGCUUUCGCUCAUCAUCACGGUGGCUAUGAGAUCUUAACUACCUCGCCCGAUAUAUAGGAUGUCGUGGGUUCGAUCCCGACCCUGACGGCUGCUGUAUAUUUGGAGUUUGCGUGUUCUUCCAGUGGUUGUGUGGAUUUUCUGCGGGUCCUACGGUUUUUCACCUCCACAUUUAGAAACAUGCAUUUAGAUUAUUUGGCUGCUAUACAUUUCCACGUGAUAAGGCCAUUUCGUUGAGCUUUCAUUUGUGGCCAGGUCGCUUCUGAAAAAGAGCUAUACAGCUCAGUGGGCCUUAGUUAGUAAAAUAAAAAAAAAAAAUAGUUUUUUUUUAUAUUGCCCUGCCUCACUUCUCAUCUUGGUCUACCUGAUCUUGCCUUGAGUCUUCCCCAGCCAGGAGUUGUACGCACGUAUGUUGUAUGUGUGUAUGUUGUAUGUGUGUAUGUUGAACUUAUUAGGUAACCAUACAUAGCCUACCACGCUAAUCGGAGGUGAGGGGAAAGGACAACAAACUAAACACAAAAAGCAUGUUCUAAAGAAACGAGUUUUCAAUCUAGGUUUUAAAGUGCAUUGCUCCAGUGUCUUCCUAAUAUCGAAAGGAAGAGCGUUCCAGACGUCUGCAGAAGCGCAUCUGAAAGCGUGCGAUGCAUUGACUGUUCGAUGGUUAGCCAACAGCCGAUGCGACGAUGACCGGAGUUUGCUUGAUGGUUUAUGCUCCUUGAAGACAUCAGCAACGUAUCGUGGUUAAUUUCUGGCAAUGACUUUGUGUGUAAUGAGUCCGACCUUAGAACGUUUUCGUUCGCAAACCGGAAGCCAAUGCAGCUCAGCGAGCACUGGACCUACGUGGUCGGAUCUUGAAAUAUCCGUCACGACACAUGCCAAAGAAUUUAACUCACAAUUGGGACCUCUGCUGGUCUUACCAAAUGAGAUCUGCUGUAUAUAGGACAUUUCUAAAUUGUCAAAAACAUCUCAUUCUUCGCAUGGCUGAUGGUGAUGUAGAGCCACAGCUCUAAUUUUACCACUAUAAUUUCCAAGUGGGAGAUGCCAGCCUUCACGCGACCUACUCCGUUAAUUGAGAAAUGGUGAGUGAUGCCACCAUCAACCCGACGAUUGAACAUUGAUCAUCAAUCUCUCGGUCUGCAGAGCAACAACUCAAGCGAUAUGAAAUUCGAAUUAAAGUGAAAAAUUACGAUGAUUAAUUUACAGGCGUUUGCCAAUCCACUGCUGAAUGAGGGCCUCCCCUCGUCAUGUCGGUCAUAGUGGUUGCUUGACUACACCAUUGGAACCUCAUUUGCCAGUAAAAAAAAAUAUGAUAAUUGGUUUUUUACCCUUUUAUCUGGCAACAAAACUGACACCUUUUUUACAAGGAGUCAUGUUU